rnacentral:snoRNA from 1 species
ACCCUCCGGAUUCCUUACCCAUCAGACCAAAACACUGGUCUGAGUGGUUGUAAAAGGGGGGAAGUCAAAUCAGAAGUGACAAGAUUUUUGGUGGCAUACAAGCGAGUUUCAAACAGAG